UAAAAGAUUGUGCCUGAAGGAAUUUUACAUUUUUGCCCUUGAUGAUUUGCUGCCAGAUAUUGAGGGGACGUCACAUGUGAAGGGAUUAACAGAGGACGGAGCAAGAUAAAGCCAUAUCUGAGCAGGCAGUACUUUUCAUGGUUGGAGUUUUCAGUGAUGAAGAAGUGCUGCCGUGUCUUUAGCCAACACUUAAAUUGACUCUGAAUUCGUCCCCAUCCCCUGCACCCAGCUGGGCUCUUCAAAAUGCGCGAUCCCUUCUUGAGAACCAUCAUGAGUAUGAUUUCCUUCCCACUGAGGAUGUUUCUUUCAGUACUGACAACUGUGCUCUAAAUAUUUGGUGAAACCCAGCAGAUUCAUGCUCCAUCAGGCAAACCUGUUUCCAAAUCCAUUCGAGGCACGGUAACUUGUCCAGAAUGUUAAUGCAAACACUUUUAGUUUCUUCCUUCCUUCAACUUCUGUCACGCUGCUGAUGUAAAAAUAACUAUUUGUGUUUAAAUUUGAACAAAUGUUUCAUUUUGCUCGUCUCCAAAUUUAGGAGCUCCUCCUAAAGCUCUCUUCUGCAAAGUGAGCUUGUAGAUGGUCAGGACCUGGCUGUUCGGGGCUGCAUGUGCGGACUCGGCUGACAUAUGGCCAGGGUAGCUGAGGGUCUGCUGCCUCUGAAGGCAGCAGUGUCUUUGUUAUGAGUACUGGCUUUGGGGGUAUAUUAACUUUGUUAUGAGUACUGGGUUUGGAGGGUUGUUUAUCAGUGUCUUGUCAGGAAAAAAAGAUUCUUCAGAGUUCGUGGGGAUUCAGUAUAUUCCCUUGUGAUUACGUCCAGUUUUGCAAGAAUAUUGGUAUUUAUGUUGCUGAAGUCUGGGUCGUAAGUGUGCAUAGAGAUCUGUAACAGCUGUGUAAAGAACCAAGCUCAGAGAUCCUUGCAAGUCAUGUCGCAAGUUUUCUCUGUGUCCAAAUGUUGCUUAAUCGUUAAAUUAUUUUAAAAUUGUUUGAGGAUAUAGAUAGUAAACUAACGUCAUAUUUAACAUCUAGGGUGCCCAGCAGUUAAUUACUUUCUUUAACAUAUCAAUAUUAUUAGAUAAAAGCCGUGCUAUUCUAAGCUGUUUUUCUGCUGUCUUUUCCACUCUCUAAUUACAAGCUUGAUAUGGAUUUUAUCAUCUAGGUGGCAUGAUGGACUUUGGUCAAUAACAGCAGGAAAUGACAGGGACAAGCUCUCACUCUGUGCUACACCCUCUGUUCCACUGUGAAAAUAAAUGUAGGGACAAACCCUUUUCUCUUUCAGUUUUUUUUUUUCCCUCCCCCUCUUUGUCAGAUGGGUGAGAGUUCAUUGCAAUGGGAAUCAGUUCAACAGGCUCCACUUAGAGUUCUCCCUGUGAAGGACAUGAAUAGAUCUAGGAAAAACUAGAUUUCUUUGAACUUGGAAGAUUUUGUUUUAUAUGAAACUGUAGGAGACGGGGAAAACCGCAGCAGUCAAAGGUAUCUGUCAUUCUGGUGAAUGUACAAUGGUAUAUAAUCAGUGGCUUAGGGGGAUACAUAUAUGCUUUGAGGGUAGUGGGAAAAGUAACUUGCUGGAUCCUGAAGAAUAGGAAGAUUUGGGUUCUGUAAAGGAAAGGAGCUUUACAAUGACUGUAUUAAAUGGGAAACGCUCCCAAGUGCUGACUCCCUGCACCAGUUCUCGGGGUCUCGCUGGGAGUCCAAGUGGUAGCAGAGGUUGUCUUCGCAUCGUGUGACUGCUCAUCAGUGCUAGCAGAAGAGAAGCAUUUUCUGCUGCGUUUCUGCUGCAGAUCACCAGUGCUUCACUGGUGUUGCAGGAAGCUCCUAAUUGUUAAUGUUGUUAGGAAUGCUUUUUUUCUUCUUCCCUCCCUUCCCUCUUACAUUGCGAGCCUGAGUUACUACUGUGCUGGCAGAUAGCAUACUUGGCACCGACAGUAAAGGCAACACUAGAAAGAUUUGUAUUUAAGGAAUCUGCAAGAUGUAUGUCAGAAGGUUUCUUUAGCUGGGAGCUGGUGCUUGGUGGAGUUCCGUCUGUUUGUACUGAAUAAACUGGCGUUUGAGUCCUCAGAAGACCACAGAUCUCUUCUGCUGGAAAAAGUGGGUGUUGUAGGAAACUCUAGAUAUAGCCAUGCUAAUUCUCGUAAAUCUCUCAGCUUCUUUCCAUGCCCCUAAACAUAGGGUUUGCAAUCCCUAAUGGGGUAUGAAGACACCGCAUUGAAGUGGCUUUACUUGGCACUGGAUUAAGACAUUCUGGGGCCUUGAGCCGUAACACAACUUGGUUCUGGCACCGUCACUGCGCUGCAGUUCUUGGCAGAGGGCUCCUCUUAUCAUAUAAGUGGAGUUAGGAGCUUUUUAUCCUGCUAGGACUAAUAGCAACACCAUAUCUUCACCUCAGAGCAGCAGGGGCACAUAUGCAUGGGGCAGCACACUAAGUAUUACCUGCCCCCCCCCCCUUUUUUUUUUUGAAAAGAACUGUUUUAUCCUUUGUAGUUACCUAAGUAUUUAUGGGUUCCACCCAAAACAGUUGGGUUUGGGUUGAUGAGGUUACUGAGGGGUAAGAUGCUGCUCAUGUGACUAUUGUUUCAGCUUUUUCUGCCAUUAGGCAACCUACAUUUUGCAUUUAAUCACUUUACAGUUUUUAAUCAGGAGAGCUAGAAGCUCGCCCUGUCUUAAGUACUGACUUACACUGUAUAAUUUAAACAAGUGAAGCUUUAGAUGUUAGUAUACAGGACUUGCACUUUAAUCUAACUGUGGAUCAGCCACCUUUGAAUUGAGCCUUGAGGUAAUGCUUUUUGGUCUUUGUCAGCUCAGUUGGACUUCUGACAGCUAUUGAGAAAGCUGGAGAAGAGGGUUGGCUUUGUUUCCUCUGAUCUGUUGAAGCUUUUUGUCUCUUACCUCAUCUGGGGCAGUUGAGGACUUUAUUUGGAGUCGGGGGGGAGGAAAGGAUUUGAACUGACUGGAAAACACUGCUGGACUUGGGGGGCUCUGUUUUAAGGCUGCCCAGCAGUUGAGGUUGGAUCUAGGUCAGCUUGUUACAGGUAAGACAGCUCUUUGCAUGAAGAACGGGGUCUGUUAAUGUUCUGGAUAACCUCUAAGGUUUUAACUUGAUGUAGAAGUUUGCUUUCCUUCCCAUAGCCUGGGUCAUGUUCAUAAAUGUUGUUGUGGUUGGGUUCCCUGUGUGGCAGCGCUGGGGGAAGACUGGGGGAGGCACUGAGUUUAAAUCAGACAAAGAGUCUGUGGGAUAUUUUUGUUCCAGGUGUUAGGAGCGGGGAGCAGUUCCAGCUGGUCAUGUCCUUGUCGUCAGUGUCACUAUAUGUAUGCAUUCUUAGUUUUGAAUGUUUUUAAUGUAAUGCAGCCUGACAGAGGUGGGUCUGUGGAACGACACAGGUGCUGAGGACGCUGCACCUGCCCUGUGAGUGUCUGAAGGGCUUUCACAUUCGGUCAGCGUGAGGUGGGCCUGGCGGACCCAGUGCCUGUCAGCCGCUGUUGUAUGCUCGGAGCUCUCCUCAAACACCUUUUCAGGUUUCAUCUCCUCAGGAGGAGCUCAGCUUGUGUGCCCCGAGCCUGACGGAGCCACAAACCAAGAUGCAUAGGGUGAGCCCGUCUGGGAGACACCUCGCAGGAGCUCUGGGCCAGGGCACCGGCGCGUAUGGCGGCACCUCACUGUCAGCCCUGUGUGGCAGGGUGAGGCGGUUGGGCCAAGUGGCAAGGCUCAAACUGAGUCUUAGCUGGGGUUCUCUGCCCAGGUCUGUGAAAAGAGUGGCAGAGGGUGGGUAGAUUCUGUAUCCAAAAUGUAUGUACCUGUGGGGACAAAAUGAAGUAGUGAGCCUUCUGCGCUGUUGAAGGCCUAGGGGUGUGAGGUGGACUGCAGUCGGCAGAGUGGUGUGGGCUGGCUUUAGUCUCUCGUGCAAGAUGCUCUUGUCAGUGCUCAUCACAUUGACCUCUUGUUGAUAUGUGAACUUGACUGAGUCGAGCUCCGGCAGCCCUUGACAAGCGAGCCCCUGUUGAGGAGGCUGUUUGGCCAGCCCUGAUAGCACAGUGGUCUCUAACAGCUCACAGCAGCUUUAGUGCCGUCAGUAGCCCCAGGAGCUCCCACAGCAAAUGAUGUUGUUUGAAAGGCCCCGUGAAAAUGCUGCUGAUUUUUUUACUUUGUGACUUGAUUAACACUUUUCCUAAAAACUGGAAUGUUUCAUAAAGGUGUCUGCCCAGGGUUUGCUUACCAAGUUUGCGGCUUAUACAACGAUAAUGUUUUCAAAAUCCAUGUCUUUAUUGCAUUCAUAUUGGGGCAGGAGGGAGGAAGUUGCUGUUAGAGUUGAAGUGUUAACUGUGUGACCGAAGUUAAUCUUUUGGUGGUGAUCCUGGCAAAGGCUAUUGUGUUUUGUUUGUUUGUUUUCCCUUUAGCUUCAUUAGCAGUUUGUUGUAGUCUCUCUUCUCUUUUUCACUCUCUUACCCAUACUUCCCUUUGCUGCUAAGAAAGGAGAUGUGUAUAUGUAUAUUUUAAUCCUGAUGUCAAAGGGAGUUAACUCUGGUUUAGAUAGAAGAUACCAAAAUGUGCUGAAAAGCCACAAAAAGAAAUAGGAAGUUUUGCUUUGAGUUAAGUAUUUGCUCUCUUAUUAGAGCAUUGCAGCCCACUUGUUGGUCUUGAUUACAGCAUCUGAAUUCUUUACCCCCUCCCCCAUGAGGGGAAACAAUUUUGGGAUAUCAC